CUGGUUGUCACCACAACACCCGUUCCCCACAACCAGACCACCUCUGCCCCUACUGAAGCUGGUGGUGGAGCAAGUGAAGAUGCUGUGGCUACUACCCCAGCACCUAAUCCACACAACCAGACAACUUCUGCACAAACUGAAGUUACUGAUGAAGCCAGUGAAGAUGCUGUGGACCGCCAAAGUGAUGUGGUUUCCACCACAACACCCAAUCCCCACAACCAGACCACAUCUGCCCCUACUGAAGCUGAUGGAGCAAAUGAUGAUUCUGCAAAUGAAGAUGAUGAUGCUGCAAGUGAAGAUGCUGUGGCUACCACCCCAACACCAAAUCCCCCAACUACAUCUCACCACACUGCAGCUACCGAUGAUGCAAGUGAGGGUGCUGUGGCUGCCUAAACUGGAACUACUGUAUCCCAUACGACUGAAGUCUGAUUCGACUGCUCCUCUGGUCACAAUAACCUGUCUGGACUUUUUGCCUCUACAUGUUGACUGCAAUAAAGGACAGAUUUUGUAUUUUUUUUAAUCAAAUGUUGUCUUGCCUUUUUCAAAUUGAGGCCUUGUCCUGUUUUGGUAGUGGAGAUGACUAUGAAGCCUCUUUUCUAACGUAUUUCCUGUAGUGGUUUUACUAUAUGCUUCAUGCAACAAGGCCUUCAACGACUCUACAAUUUAAAAGCAUCUAGUUGUCUGAAUUUGUAAAAUGGUUGAACUGGUAGUGAUGCACUAUAAUGGUGAACUGCUUGUGGCAUUUCAAUAAUCUCUACUGUACUGUUUGACAUGUACAUCUCAAGUGAAUUUGCGUGGUAAUUGGUAAACUGAUGUCCGUCCCUACUAAGGGAGUACUGGCCUUAGUAGGCUAACGCCCUCAAUGUAACGGCUAUAUAAAUGGCAUACAGUGUAUGUACUUAACUUUUUAACACAGCGCUGAAUAUACCAUUACAUACUUGUGGUAUCUAUUUGUGGAAGCCUACCUUUACUAUAUCACAACUAGUUUGCUCUGCAUUAUAUAUUAGCAAAUCUGCUGUAAGUAAGGAAAAAUGAA
ensembl:lncRNA